CCUUACUGUUGCCUCGGCGCAUGCUGGCCUCUAGUAGGCCCCUCACCCCGGUGAGGAGAAGGCACGCCGGCGGCCAACUUAACUCUUGUUUUUACACUGAAACUCUGAGAAAAAACACAAAUGAAUCAAAACUUUCAACAACGGAUCUCUUGGUUCUGGCAUCGAUGAAGAACGCAGCGAAAUGCGAUAAGUAAUGUGAAUUGCAGAAUUCAGUGAAUCAUCGAAUCUUUGAACGCACAUUGCGCCCUCUGGUAUUCCGGAGGGCAUGCCUGUUCGAGCGUCAUUUCAACCCUCAAGCAUUGCUUGGUGUUGGGGCACUGCCUGUAAAAGGGCAGGCCCUGAAAUCUAGUGGCGAGCUC
rnacentral:rRNA from 1 species